rnacentral:rRNA from 1 species
UACGAAGGGGACUAGCGUUGUUCGGAAUCACUGGGCGUAAAGCGCACGUAGGCGGAUGUGUCAGUCAGGGGUGAAAUCCCGGGGCUCAACCUCGGAACUGCCUUUGAUACAGCACGUCUCGAGUCCGGAAGAGGUGGGUGGAAUUCCUAGUGUAUAGGUGAAAUUCGUAGAUAUUAGGAAGAACACCGGUGGCGAAGGCGGCCCACUGGUCCGGUACUGACGCUGAGGUGCGAAAGUGUGGGGAGCGAACAGG